rnacentral:misc_RNA from 1 species
AAAGAAGCUCUUGGUGAGGUGUUGAAUGGCGAUCGCCUAGUCAGCGCUCCCUACAAACUCAACUUCAGAGAUGAAAGAACUUCAGCAGUUGUUUGUAAGAAGACGCUUAAUAAGGAGGAAGUUGCUCAGUUCAGAUCUGCAAUUGACAAAGACUAUUACUUCCAAAUGUAUUAUGAUGAUCUGCCCAUCUGGGGUUUCAUAGGAAAGGUUGACAAAGAAGGCAAGGCUGAUCCUAGUGAGUACAAAUACUUGCUUUACAAGCAUAUCCAAUUCGAUGUUCUGUACAAUAAGGACCGUGUGAUUGAAGUAAGUGUCCGGAUGGAUCCUCAUUUGCUGCUGGAUCUGACGGAGGACAAGGAAGUUGAU